rnacentral:rRNA from 1 species
UACGGAGGGUGCAAGCGUUAUCCGGAUUCACUGGGUUUAAAGGGUGCGUAGGUGGAUUGGUAAGUCAGUGGUGAAAUCUCCGGGCUUAACCCGGAAACUGCCAUUGAUACUAUCAGUCUUGAAUACCGUGGAGGUCAGUAGAAUAUGUCAUGUAGCGGUGAAAUGCUUAGAUAUGACAUAGAAUACCAAUUGCGAAGGCAGCUGGCUACACGAAUAUUGACACUGAGGCACGAAAGCGUGGGUAGCAAACAGG